GCCCUAGCUGCAAUACAGAAGAUCAUUUAAAUCGAUAAAUGACUUGCGUGGUACAAUACUCAAGACUGGAUUUUGGUAAAAAAAACACUUAAAUGCUGCUGAUGAUUUUCAUAACAGCAUAAAACAAUAUAUGUAAAAAUAUAAUUUGUAGGAAACAUACUCUCCUCUAUUCCUUGAUGGUUCCCUGAAGGUCUCAGGACAGAAAAGCCGGCUCCAUGAUGCUCUACCUGAGAGACGCCCACUGGAGCUGAGGAAGGUGGAGUAGCCGGCUCCAUGAUGCUCUGCCUGAGAGACGCCCACUGGAGCUGAGGAAGGUGGAGUAGCCGGCUCCAUGAUGCUCUGCCUGAGAGACGCCCACUGGAGCUGAGGAAGGUGGAGUAGGAUUCUGGUUCUGUGACGGGUCCACCCUUUCUCUGGCUGUGGUUCCUCCAUGGUUCUGACGCUCUUCAACACCCUGUCAAGGUCUUUAUACGGAGGCCACCAGGAGUAGCCGUCUGCGUACCAUGACUUGGCAAUUGGUCCAGUUGUACCUUCUCCCUCAAACUCCACUAUUAGAACUCAACGGUUGUUGAGAGGUCGCCAACUAAAUGGAUGCCGAGUGUAGAAAAUGUUAGAGGAUAGUCAAAGAAAGAUUCCUGGUUGUUGAAGGUACUGUAGGCAACAUAAACUUCAUCCUUGAAUGAAAUAAUGUUCUGGAGCUUAGAAGCUUUGCCGCCGAUGUAGACGUGACCGUUUGCCUGGUCUAGUUUAAGAGUGUAAGGGCUUGUCCUUAACUCUUUAUAUUGUGUCGCCUCAUGAAAGGAUGCAGGGAGAGGACCAUUCGCAUGCUGUUUUUUGAGCAGAUGUGGCCUGGUUUUCUGAGGUGUUUUGCAGCUUCUUUGCAUCUCUGAGAAUCUUUUUAUUAUUUGACUCAGAGGGCAUGUUGGUUUCCUCAGAAGUCUUUUGAGUUUGUGCAGGUGAUUCUCAUACUUGAAAGCACUGAAGUUGUCAAGAACCCCAUGCUUUUUUGCAUCAUCUGCAAGAUGUACGAGGGAGUGUGCAUUAUACGACAAGAACUGUGAACCGUACAGUUGCCCAAAGUGAGUGACAAAAAGAACUAGCAUUUCAUUUGCAUAAUCACAGUAAUCUUCAAUGAAACUGUUGUUGCACAGGAUGGAGAUUCCCACAAAAAGCAGCAUGAAGUUUUUGUACACCUCUGUGCUGAGGAGAUCCUUCAUCAUGACCGGUCCCGUAUACAGUAAAAACUGCCUGAACUCUGUUGCCUUCCACCUAUCAAUUUCCUUCAGUGCCCUUGGUUUCCGUGCAAACUCCAUGGGCACAUAUCUUCGCGCAUUCACCAACCUUUCUGAUAAUGUGUUUAUUUGAAAACCCGACAGCCUACAAGUAAGAGGACCCAUCUUCAGCCACAAGUGGAGAAGCCGUCUCAUGACUCCGAGGCACACAAGGUGCAUGUAGUCGAGGGGGAAGCCAGAGACCAUAUCCAGGGACGUUUCUUCAAGGGGUGAGAUACCUCGGUGAUGAUCAGAAUCGGACUUGUUUCUGAAGCUCUCAUUGGUUCUUCGAGGCAAGUCACUUCUUGGAAAUGUCAUCCUGUUUUCCAGGUACACGCCAUCCUCUGUACAUUUUUCACAUCCAUGAUAGCCUGUGUGACCUUUGACAUUUUUCAGGAAUGCACGAGCAGGUGCGUCGCAAACCAUUGAUGACAGAUGUAAAGUUAACUUCACUCCUUCAAAGUCGAAUCCAUUGGCCAAUUCAUUUACUUCAGCGAUGAAGUCUUCAAGAUACUCAGUUAGAGAGGUAGGUUUACAUGUGCCACAAAAUAAGCCUAUUGUCACUGGUUCCUCUUGUCUGAUAUUUUGCAGUGUUCCUAGAAUGGGCCAGAACUGUGUUGCUGAGCUCUUGAAGAGGGGCAAACCAUCUAUGCUGACCUGAAGCUCCAGCGUGUGAAUGUUGCUCAGAAUGUCGACGUUCUGAUGUAGCAGCUCUGUAAUGGAUUUCAGCAAUCCGAAAUGUUGCCCAAGUUGCCAAAUCGUCUUCCAGGGAAGUUGGAUCAGAUUCGGACUCCGUGUCUGAUUCACUGUCUUCAAGAACAC